CGGGAUCAGACGCACGAAAAUCAGAAUAAGGCAGCGAUACUUUUGGCCAGGGCUAAGCAGAGACGUAACACGAUUCGUACGAACAUGCGAAAGCUGCCAAAAAUUUAAGGUAUCGCAACAAGCAGCGGCAGGCAAAAUGCUGACCAAAAUCGCAAACGCACCAUGGGAAACAAUAUGCGUCGAUUUCGUGGGACCACUCCCAAGAUCGCCGCACGGCAACACCGCACUAAUCGUGUUUAUCGAUAAAUUUUCGAAAUGGGUGGAGGUCACACCGACAAGAAGCGCAACAGCUGACGCAUUCCUAAAGGCGUUCAGAGAAAAAAUACUGGCGAGGGGAGGUGCACCAAAGCGAGUGAUCUCAGACAACGGCGUACAAUUUACAAGCAGAAAGACGAAACAGGUAAUGAAAACGUGGGGCAUCACCCAACAAUUCACGGCACCAUACACACCACAAGAAAACCCAACCGAACGAGCGAACCGAACACUAAAGACGAUGAUCGCACAAUUCGCGGGAGGGAAACACAACAAAUGGGACGAACAACUACCAGAACUAACCCUAGCGAUAAAUAGCAGCAAGUCAGAAGCAACAGGAUUUAGUCCAGCAUACCUGAUAUUCGGGAGAGAACUUAGAUUGCCGGGCAACCUAUUCGACGAGGUAACACUAGGGUCAGGGUUCAACAAUCAAACAAACCAGGAAAACACCGACAAACGAAAACAAACAGAAACAAUAGCAAGGAAAAACAUGGAAGAAGCAGCAGCAAAACAAGCAAGACAUUACAAUUUGCGAAAGCGAGCAUGGAAGCCAAAAAGAGGGGACUUAGUAUGGGUACGAACGCACCCACUAUCGAAAAAAAUCGACAAGACAACAGCGAAACUAGAACCGAAAUACACCGGUCCGUGCAAGACAGAUGGAAAAUAAAGAAGAUAAAUUCAACAUUUCGGCCCGGAAAUUCAAAGAAAGGAUGGCACAGGCCAGCCACAAAAACCGAGCGGCAAAACUACUAUCGGCCGCCCCCCCACUCAGCUCACGGAUGAAAGUAUCAGGAACAAAGGUGUCAGCACCCAGGUAAACAGCAACAAACAAAACGAUGGAAACCACGGCAGGACACUCGAGAGAGACUCGAGGAGAACAAGUAGCAACGCACAAUGAAGUAAUCCCAACAAAAAAGAGGAUCAGCUGGGCAAACCAGGCCAACCUACAGGAACAAACGGCACGAAGAAUCAGCGAACAACGAGGCCCGGAACUUUCCUGGGCAAAACAAGUGGAAGACGAAGAGUCCGACCGGGACGUGCUAGACCUAAGCCCCGAGCGGCCAACACCAGAACCGGAAACCCAGAAACCCAUCCAGAGAGGCACCAUCCCGGGCGAAUGGGAGGUCCCGGAAAAAUUCGAACUAGCGACCACGGCGAUCGAACUAGUCAAAGCAAAACUCCACGACCGCCCAAAACACACGCAACGACGGUACAAACUAUGGAACGAGAAACAGGAGACGUGUUGGGUGAAGAUCGGCCGAGCUGGAGAUGUCCGCAUCAGCGCAUGGUUCCAAACAAAGUCAAUUGGCGAAGCUCCACUGGGAAAGGAGAGGGGAGUGUGACGCCCAGCGCCAGGAAGACCAAGCGCCGGCGCCACAAACACCACAACAAUAUCACUAGAAACACCAAGACAAGCCAUGAAGACUAUAAAAUAAGUAUUAGUAGGAUAAGGAGAACAUAAGCUACAAAUACAUGAAGACCUGCCACAUAAGAAAUAAAUAUAAAUAAACAAACAAUAAAAGAUACAUAAAACCAACCACAGCUGAUCACCACCAAUGGGCCCGUAGCACAGCCACCCACGGUCACACCCACAGCUGACCGCCCCAAGUGUGACCAUAACC